UACGGGGGGAGCAAGCGUUGUUCGGAUUUACUGGGCGUAAAGUGUGCGCAGGUGGCCGCGCAAGUCGAGUGUGAAAUCCCCGAGCUUAACUUGGGAAUUGCGCUCGAAACUACGUGGCUCGAGUGUGGCAGAGGAAGGUGGAAUUCCACGUGUAGCGGUGAAAUGCGUAGAGAUGUGGAGGAACACCGAUGGCGAAGGCGGCCAUCUGGACUGACACUGACACUGAGACACGAAAGCGUGGGGAGCAAACAGG
rnacentral:rRNA from 1 species